rnacentral:rRNA from 1 species
AUUGAACGCUGGCGGUAGGCCUAACACAUGCAAGUCGAACGGCAGCACAGAGGAGCUUGCUCCUUGGGUGGCGAGUGGCGGACGGGUGAGGAAUACAUCGGAAUCUACUUUUUCGUGGGGGAUAACGGAGGGAAACUUACGCUAAUACCGCAUACGACCUACGGGUGAAAGCAGGGGAUCUUCGGACCUUGCGCGAUUGAAUGAGCCGAUGUCGGAUUAGCUAGUUGGCGGGGUAAAGGCCCACCAAGGCGACGAUCCGUAGCUGGUCUGAGAGGAUGAUCAGCCACACUGGAACUGAGACACGGUCCAGACUCCUACGGGAGGCAGCAGUGGGGAAUAUUGGACAAUGGGCGCAAGCCUGAUCCAGCCAUACCGCGUGGGUGAAGAAGGCCUUCGGGUUGUAAAGCCCUUUUGUUGGGAAAGAAAUCCAGCCGGCUAAUACCUGGUUGGGAUGACGGUACCCAAAGAAUAAGCACCGGCUAACUUCGUGCCAGCAGCCGCGGUAA